UUCAGGCAGUGGUUCCCAGGACUAUUUUACACACUUAAAAAUUACUGAGGAUGCUAGCUAGACCUGGAGAGAAGAAGACCUGAAUUCAAAUACGACUAUGUUUCCUUGGCAAAUCAUCUAAGCACCUGUUAAUAUAGUGCUGCCAAUGCUGGGUCCAUGACCACCUCUUAAGGAUCAUUGGGUAGGCAUUAUGCUGAAUUCUAAAUAUUGAAUUUAAUAGAACCACUGUUAGCAUAGAAAACAUGAGGAUAGACUUCAAUACCCAAAGUGGCCACAUACUUCUCAAAUCCACCAGUCAAGUGAUGUAAACAUUUGUAAAAUGUGGUUUUUUUCUACUGCUGUUAUCCCCAACACAAGCUUGAACUGAAUGUAGAGUUUUCCUUGGGCAUCCUUGGUGAUGUUCUAGAAGCAUCUGCCUUUGCCUGAAUGGAUUCCAAGUUAAGUGCAUUUCCCUCUGCACAUUGCCUUAACUUCAAUAGGACUGAGUUUUCUUUUCUAUAAAAUGAGGUAACUGGCCUCCAAGAUCUCUUACAGGCCUGAGGUUGUGUGAUUCUUGACACAAAAACUGACUAGAUGGUAUUACUGCCUCCUACAUACUAAAAGUGUUAGGAAUACAAAGAUUAAAAAUGAAAAUAUGCCCUUAAAAAUCUUACAAUGACAUUCAAUAUACUGAAAAUACAUCUCCAUAGAUAUAUACAAUAUAUUUUUUUAAUACCUGAUGUGUAAUUUCAUAGGUAUGCAGAACUCUCCCUACCAAUGUAGAUUGGCUUGUCAGUCAAUCAGCCAUCAGCCAAUAAACAUUAAGUGCCCAUUACAGACCAGGCAGGGUGCUCAGGGUUAGGGAUACAAAGAAAGGUAAAGCAAAAUCUCUGCCCUCAAGGAGCACACAAUCUAAAGAGGUAAUCAUGUAAAAAAACUAUGUACAAAGUACGGACAGGAUAUACUGUAGAUAAUCAAUGGAGGACAAAUAUGGAAAUUUAAGAUCAUUGUACAUGAUAAUCAAUGGAGGGAAGGGAUUAGAAUUGAGGGAAUGAAGAAGG